CUAGGUGUGAUGCCAGAGAGUGAGUCAGACAAGGCAAUUGAUUGACAAAACACAUCACUGCCUGGACAGGAGGAGGCCCCAGAAUAGAAACAAAGGAAGCUGCUUUCAUACACUCUAGCCCAGGUUCUAAAGAGGAAAAGGCCCUGCUUCUGUAUUGGUUAUUCAUGCAAGCCAAACAAUUUUCCCCAGUUUCCUGAACAGCAACACUCAGCAACAGGAGAGAAAUCUCUUUCUGCAGACAUGUUCAACAAGCAAGGUUUAAUGUUCAGUGCAGCAUGUGUCUGGAAUAUGCAUAAGAUGGAGACAGGCUUGAGAGCUUACCUGACCGAAGUGAACUGUUUUGCUGCAGACAACCUAACUGCUCGCGCAAUCACACAGAAAAAUUUUGAUGCUGCUGCUUUCCAAUAUUAUGAAUGAAGAGAAGAGAGAGAUGCUACUUCCUUCCUCCUUGAUAAAGAGCAAUAUUGGAUAUCUUUGGGAGACCUGUGAGACUCAGUUUUGUAGACUCUGAAGACUGUCCCCAAAUUCUACAUUGAAAAAAAUGCCCCAUAAAAUUAGCAGUGAUAUCUACCAAAAUCAGUGGCACAGCUUCCCAGCAA